rnacentral:rRNA from 1 species
UAAUACCCGGGGACCAAGUGAUGGCCAGAAUUAUUGGGUCUAAAGCGUCCGUAGCCGGUUCAAAAAAUCCCUAGUGAAAUCUUUCAGUAAACUGAAAGGAGUGCUUGGGAUACUCUUGGACUUGAGACUGAGAGGGGAUAGGGAUACUCUUAGGGUAGGGGUAAAAUCCUAUAAUCCUGAGAGGAUCACCAGUGGCGAAGGCGCCUAUCUGGAACAGGUCUGACGGUGAGGGACGAAGGCUAGGGGAGCGAUUGGGAUUAGAUACCCCAGUAGUCCUAGCAGUAAACGAUGCCCGCUUGGUGUUGCAAGCUUCUCGGGAGCUUGCAGUGCCGGAGCGUAGGUGUUAAGCGGGCCACCUGGGAAGUACGGUCGCAAGGCUG